AAAAUUCCAACAAACUCCCACUUGGACUAAAACUCCUAGUGGUAUGAGAGAAUAUAUAUGAAACUAGGGCACAUGCCCAAUAAGUCUCCCACUUGUCCUAGUUUACAAACAUCGUAGACCUAAACUGUGUAGGUGACCCUCAAACACUUUAGCCGUGAGGGCUUUUGUAAAAGGAUCAACAAUGUUUUGCUGAGAAGAAAUCUGGGUUACUACAACGUCACCACGAUGUACAAUUUCCCUGAUAAGAUGGUACUUGCGUUCAAUAUGCUUUCCUCUUUUAUGGCUUCUAGGUUCUCUUGAAUUUGCAACUGCACCACUGUUGUCACAGUAUAAAGUGAUUGGUAGAUGCAUAUUUGAAACGAAUUCCAAAUCUGUCAAGAAUUUUCAUAGCCAUACUACUUCUUUGGCUGCUUCAAAAGCCGCUACAUAUUCAACUUCCAUUAUGGAAUCAACUAUACAAGUUUGCUUUAUGCUUCUCCAAACUACUGCUCCUCCAUUUAGAGUAAAUAUUGAUCCUGAUGUAGACUUUCUAGCAUCUUUAUCAGUUUGGAAAUCUGAAUCAGUGUAUCCAGUAAGGAUCAGAUCCUUUGUACCAUACAUGAGCAUGUAGUCUUUUGUUCUUCAAAGAUAUUUUAGAAUGUUUUUAACGGCUGUCCAGUGAUCACGUCCAGGAUUGGAUUGAUACCUACUGACCAUCCCUACUGAGUAGCAAAUGUCAGGUCUAGUACAUAACAUUGCAUACAUUAAACUUCCAACAGCGGAAGCAUAGGGAAUAUUUCUCAUAUCCUCAACUUCUUGAGGUGUCUUAGGACAUUGUUCCUUUGACAAAUGAAUUCCAUAUCUGUACGGCAGCAGACCCUUUUUGGAAUUCUGCAUUUUAUAUCUAGACAACAUUUUGUCUAUGUAAGAUGCUUGAGACAUGGCUAGUGUUUUAUUCUUACGGUUUCGAACAAUUUGGAUUCCGAGAACGUAUUGUGCAUCUCCCAGAUCUUUCAUUUGAAAUUGCAUAGCUAGCCAUUUCUUGAUAUCAGUAAGAUAUCCUACGUCAUUUCCAAUAAGUAGAAUAUCAUCUACAUAUAAGACUAAAAAUGCUAUAAUGGAAUUGACGACCUUUUUGUAAACACAAGGCUCGUCAACAUUUUGUUCAAAGCCAUAAGAUUUGAUCGCAGUAUCAAAUCUUAUAUUCCAGGAUCUACAUGAUUGUUUUAAUCCAUAAAUGGAUUUUUUAAGCUUACAAACCUUUUGUUCUUGAUCUUGUUCUAUAAACCCCUCUGGUUGAGACAUAUAUAUACUCUCUUCAAGAUUACCGUUCAAAAAAGCUGUCUUGACAUCCAUCUGCCAAAUUUCAUAAUCAUAAAAAGUGGCGAUGGAUAAGAGUAUUCUAAUUGACUUUAACAUGGCAAUGGGAGAGAAAGUUUCCUCAUAGUCUACUCCCUCUCUCUGAGUAUAACCCUUUGCCACAAGUCGAGCCUUAAAAGUCUGUACUUUACCGGCAUGGUCUCGUUUUCUCUUGUAGAUCCAUUUACAACCAAUAGGUUUUACGUCAUUUGGUUGAUCUACUAGAGUCCAGACAGAAUUAAAGUACAUAGACUCCAUUUCGAGGUCCAUGGCUUUGAUCCAUUGGUCACGAUCUACAUCUUUCAUUGCCUGUUUAUAGGUUAAUGGAUCCUCUAUGCCAUCGUCAGGUAUGACGACUUGAGUUUCAAUUAAACCCAAAUAGCGAUCAGGCUGAUGAACAACCCUCUCACUACGUCGAGGCUCUCUCAACUGUUGAGAAGGAUGUGAUUGACCAGAUUUCCUAGUCUUAUCAACUACUUUAGUGGAUGAACUAGGUUUAUCUAUAGCACUUUUGGAAAUUUCUUUUAAUACUAGUUUACUACGAGGUUGAUGAUCCCUGAUGUGGUCUUCCUCUAAGAAUGUGGCAUUUGUUGACACAAAUAUUUUAUUUUCUUGAGGAUCAUAAAACAAACCACCUCUUGAUUCUAUUUGGAUAACCUAUGAAAAAGCAUAAUUUUGAACGAUGUUCCAAUUUCUUAGGAUUUUGCACCAACACGUGUGCUGGACAACCCCAAAUUCUAAAAUGACGUAAACUUCCUUUACGCCCUUUCCAUAGCUCAUAAGGUGUUUCUGAAACACUUUUAGAGGGAACAUUAUUCAAAAUAUAAGCAGCUGUUUCUAAAGCAUAUCCCCAAAAAGAAUCUGGCAUCUGAGAAAAACUCAUCAUAGAGCGAACCAUGUCUAACAAGGUCUGGUUUCUUCUUUCUGAUACACCGUUCUGUUGAGGUGUACUAGGUGCAGAGAGUUGUGACUGGAUUCCAUUUUCUAUUAAAUAGUCUCGGAAUCGUAAGUCCAUAUACUCUCCACCUCGAUCUGAUCGAAGUAUUUUUAUUGUUUUACCUAAUUCAUUUUCUACUUCAGCCUUAUAUUCUUUGAACUUUUCAAGACUAUUAGACUUGUGAUGUAUUAGGUAAAUAUGACCAUACCUUGAAUAAUCAUCAAUGAAGCUUGAUGAAAUAUUCAUAUCCACCUCGAACUUUGACAUUCAUUGGUCCAUAAAGGUCCGAAUGUACGAGCUCUAAGGGUUAGAAGAUCUCUUGGUCAUUUUUCCUUCGAGACAAGAUUCACAAGGAGGUAAAGAGUUAUCUUCUAACCGACUUAGAAGCCCAGUUUUAACCAAUCUCCCAAUCCUAUUGAGAUUUAUGUGACCAAGUCUUAAGUGCCAUAAAUAGGCAUUAGAAGAAACUUUUGCUCUUCUGAAUAUUUCAGUAUUUAAGACAAAAUUUACUCUAGUUGGUCUUAACUUAUAUAAGUUGUCUUCAAGUAUGACAAAACAAACUAGAAUACCUUUAUAGAAAACGAACGCUUCAUUAAUUUCAAAAUAUACUCUAUACAUUUGUUCCAAAAUACAAGAGAUAGAUAUUAAACACUUUACAUAGGAUGCCCCUACUUUCAUGUCUCUACAUGAAUGAUCAGGAUCACCUCGUUUAUACUACAAAGUGGGCCGCAUCCAUAGUUUCUCUAAAUGAGGCGCCCAACCUUUAUUCAUAUACUAUAGACUAUUUAGGCUAUACAUACUCGAACUUGAUCCACGUUUUAUGUUUACACAUAAAGUUCCAGUUUAUUAAAAAAAUAGCCUUGGAACUUGAUUUAUUGGAUUUAAGAUUAUAAUAUUUAAUUUCUCAAUAACAACUUUAUUGAACAAAAUAUUAUACAAACUACGAGUUUUAGGACAAAAAAUUUCAACACUAGUAGCUUAAUGCGAAGUUCCUAGACCAUUGAUAUUUUUCUGAGAUAGGUAGUUUCUUUCGAGGCUGUGGCAUUGACCUUUUUUUUCGACGUUUUGGGUUUAGGGACUAAAAAACCAAGUCGAAGGCAUCACUGCUCGGCUUUUGCGGGCAUAAAACUUCACAAUUGCUCGGAAUGAGACCACCGGUAGCUGCAUGCGAACUUUCGAGAGACCUUUGACAUUGUUAUGAGUUGGGUAGUUUCUUUCGAGGUCGUGGCAUUGGCCACUCCUUCAACGUUUUGGUUUUAGGGACUAAAAAACCGAGUCGGGGGCAUCAUCGCUCGGCUUUUGCGGACAGAAAACUUCAAUAUUGCUCGGAAUGAGACCACCCGGUAGCUGGAUGUGAACUUCCGAGACCUUUGACAUUGUUCUGAGCUGGGUAGUUUCUUUCGAGGCUGUGGCAUUGGCCCCUCUUUCGACGUUUUGGGUUUAGGGACUAAAAAAAGAGUCGGGGGCAUCACCGCUCGGCUUUUACGGGCAAAAAACUUCAAUAUUGCUCGGAAUGAGACCACCCGGUAGUUGGAUGUGAACUUCUGAGACCUUUGUGUAAAUGUAUUUGACUGCCUCGUGUCUUAAGGACCAUUCUGGUUUCCCAAACAUUCCCCUUAAUGUAUCCAUAAUCUCUUUAGCUGUGGCUAAGGAUUCAUAUUUCUUUGCUAAUACAUCAGCCAUGCUGGCAAGAAUGUAGACACGGGCUUUUUCAUUAGCUUUUAUCCAUCGAUCAUAUGCAUCCCGACUAGUUCAGUUAGCAUUAGAGGUAGGGUUUUGAGGACAUUCCUCAGUUAAGACAAAUCUUAAAUCGUCAACCACUAGUAUUGUGUUAAGAUUUGAUUUUCAAGCCGCAUAAUUAUCGCCAUUAAGUUUUUCGGAAGCUAAAAGUUGAACUAUUGAGCUAUUCAUGCUGAAAAACAAACAUAUUCUUUUUUUAGGAAAAACUAUAAUCAUAAAAAUAACCAAUCUAAUUUAGCAAUUACUAAUAAUGUACCAUUUCAUUAUUUGUAUUUUGCAACAAUAUUUCAAAGGUUUAGAACAACCAUCUCCGAAGGGUAGUUGAUUAUUCCUCCUUUGAACCAAGACAAUCUUGACUAGAUGCUAUCUCUAGAAUAACUGCUUAUUCUUUAUAGCACUUAGUUAUCGCUACUUUAGUCGAGAAUAUACUAACAACUUAGUAAUUUUUGUAAGUGUUACCCACCAUUUUCAGAUUUCAUAGAUUAGAAUCAUUAUGAAAACUAAUCUAAGAAAAUCUAUCCAGAUUUGGAGUUUGCGGUGUUCCAAAUCUUAUAAUACAACCCUUUGAAGGGAAUGUCGCUCUAUGGCAGACAAGUAGGCAUAUUAUAGAAAUCUCACGGUGCGACCUAAUGGAAGAGACCGUGGGAUGUGCUGCCACAUAUCACUCACCCACUUACUAUGAACUACUUCCCCUAUUCACCAUGAUUUUGAUCCAUGCAAACACUCUCCGAAGGGAGUCCGCUCCUACGCACGGUGCAAAGCCUUGCAUGGACCUCACGGUGUGAACUCUUAGGGACACUAGAGCUUAAAAAAUACAUUAUUUUUCUCUAGUUGAAGUGUUCUAUAUCAUUUUUUUAAAAGAAAAAAUGGUAAUUAAAGCUUCAAGAUUUAUAUUUAGGCUAACUUAAACAAAUCUUAAGUCUAGGUAAAACAUCAGAGUAUAACCAUUAUACUUUAAACAUUUUUUUAAAAAAAAUAAAAAGAAUAGAUGGAAAGUAAAAAUUAAACAAUUAAAAAAGAAAAUUUAAGAAAGAUCUUUAAAAUUAGGUCAAUAGGAAAUAAUGCACAAUGGAAUCAAAUAUAUUACACGAUGGAUUAAGCAAGUAAGAUAAGAUUUUAUUUUUAAAAAAAUAUUGGAAAUCGAUCUUGGUCUCCCAAAGAACUGAUUUCCUCACCUCAAGAAUUUAGAAAUAACGGACUCCCAUAUAUUUUUUUGGAUGAUAAAAUGUAAAAAUAAAUAUGAUAUAAAAAAAUAAUUGAUACAAAAUACCAUAUGAUAACAUUGUAAAGUGUGACAGUAUUCAUAAAUUUAAUACUACAUGAUAAUAAUUAUUAUGCAUGCAAGGAAAAUAAGUUAAAAUAAAUAAAUAAAAAUAAAUAGAAACCAUGGACAACAAAAAUAAAUAAAUGAAUAAAUAAAUAAUAAAAGGGAAAGAAAUAAAAGAAAUAAAGGAACGAAGAGAUAAAAGAAAAAGAAAAAAGAAUUUUUUCUAAAAAAAAUGUUGUGGCGGCCACCUAUAAUAAUAAUAAUUAUUAUAAUAAUAAUAAUAAUAAUAAAAAAAAAUAGUAAUUAUAUAAAUAAACUAAUAAUAAUAGGUUUUAAGUAUAUAUAAAAAAUAAUAAUCAUAAAAAAAAGUUUAAAAACAGUAAUAUAAAAAAUGUCACUAACAAAUAAUAGAUAUAUUAAUAAUAAUAAAAAAUAAGACGUAAGAAACUUAAAUAUAAGUACGUAAUCUUCUUAUUUUUUUUAUAUAUAUUUUUUUAUAAAAUAAAGAUCAAUGUUUUAAAAAAAGUCUUGUGUCUUUUUCUUUUUCUCUAUCUUUUAGAAAGAAGAAAAAGACCAAGUUUUUUUUUUAUAAAAAAAUCUAUAUAUUUCUUUUUCUUUAUCUCUAUCUUUAAAUAACAAAAUAAAAACCAAAUCCCAAAUAAAAUUACAGGUGUGGAUUCUUGGGAGAGUAAAUUUCUACCACAUGCAACCUCUCACAGAGUCAGUCUAUUUUUAACAAGAUUUGAUUGGCUAAAGAGAAGUAAAAAAAAAAAUACAAAACAAAACAAAAACAUAAAACAUAAAAAAGUGAAGAUAUUAAUGUUAUGAAAUAAAAUAAACUACAUUUUGCAGAAGUUUAUCUUCCAAAUGGCAGAGAUUCUCUAAAAAAAUUUCUCUAACGUUUUCUCUAUAGACUUUUUGUAAAAAAAUUUCUCCUCCAAAGAAUUCUUUAUUUCAAAAAAACUCCUCCCUUUUUUCAAAUGACAAAGGUCCCUAUUUAUAGACCUACCAUAAAUUAGGAAAAAAUAAUCAAAAUUUGAUAUUAUAUUAAUAAAGUAAAUUUCAUUUUCCUAAAAUAAAUAAACUAAAUUAAAUGAGAUUUUUUGAGAUUUCGUAAAAUUAAUAAAUAAAUUAAAUGGAUAUUAAAAGAUUUUUUUUUUAAAAAAAUUAAUUUUCUUUUUUUCCUAAAAUGAUAUAAAAUAAGUCAAAAUUAAUAUUAGAAGAUUUUAUUUAAAACAAAUUCACUUAUUUUUUCCUAAAAUAGUACAAAUACGAUAAAUGUGAUAUUAAAAUAAAUUUAUUUAUUUUUAUUUCCUAAAAUAAUGAAAACGAGAUAUCAAUAAUAUAUGUUAUUACUAAUUUUUUUUACCUCUUUUAAAAAUAAAUAAAUAAAAGUUUAGUCAUUAUUACUAAUAUUAUUUUAAAAGAAAAUUAUUGGUAGGAUAAAAAUAGGUGGUUACAAUUGUAUUUAAAAAUUCAAUUAAUCAGUCAAGCAGUUUACAUAUAAAGCAUGAAUUAAAUUAGUAUAAUUUAUCUUGGGAAAAAAUGAUGAUGGAAUAUGAUGAAAGAAUAUUAUUAGUAGGAGUUUAUCAAUGUUUUAAGUCUCAUGAAAAUCAUUUUGAUUUUGUCAUAAAGAUAAUUGAGUAUUGCAUAUGUAAAAAAAUCAACUAUUAUACCAAAUAAUCAAUUAGCUACGAGAAUUUAGGGUAUAAAUCUCAACAAUCUCUCACUUACAUUGAAGCUUAUAAGAGACAUGUAUUCUAGAGCAUACUCUACAUUCAUCGUUAUGUGUCGGGUCUAAAUAGCACUUGACUAUGAUUUUAUCACGUAAUCAGUAUCUUAUAAUUUGAGUUGAUGCUUAAGUUUACCAUCAUUCGAUUACUUAGAAUCACAAAUACCUUUUAUUUUAUCAUUUUCCAAUACUCGUAGGUCAUUUGUGAGGGAUUAUUGUUGAGAAUGCCCCACACAUGUAUACAACAAUGCCAUUAGAGAUGUCCACGGGACAGGGCGGUUGGGGAUGUCACUCCUCGUCCUCGCCCCUAUCUCAUUUUCCAUCCCCACCAAUUUUCUUAUGGGGAACGGGGUGGGGAUUUCCGCAAGGAUUACAUGAGUUCUCGCGAGGUUCGUUUUUUUAAAAGUUUAAUCUCAUUUUUCCAAUCUACAUUUACUUAAAUGUAUUAUUAUUAUUAUUAAACCCUAAACCCUAAACCGUACUUUUAGCCGUGAGUCGAGCUCCAAAUGUAGGUUUUCAUAUCAAAGGAACCCGACACAUUCUAGUCCAAAGCAACUUCGCUCUCUUACUUUUGUGGCUGAUAGUCGAAAGUACCCCAUGCAGGUUCUCCUACUGAAGGAACCCAACGCUACUAUUACUAUUACUAUUACUACUACUAUUAGUAUUAUUAUCACUAUUAUUACUAUUACUACUACUAUUAAUAUUAGUGUUAUUAUUAAUUACUAUUAUUAUUAUCAUUAUGAUUAUCAAGAUGAUGAUUAUUAUGAUCAUUGUUAUUAUUAUUAAAAAAAUUCCUUUCCUCAUCUUUUCUUUUCAUCUCCCAUUUCUCCCCAACCCCUCUCCAUAAUGGGCAUAGGCUAUUAAAAGUGAGCUACAAAACAAAAAUUACUUGAAAUUAUAAAUAAAGAAUAAAAUAUUAUACCCAAAAACAUACCCUCUCAGGCGAAGUCACCAUUUUGGAAACUCAUUCAUUCAAAACUCUCACCCAAUUCGAAACCUCCCACACACACCGAAACCCUCUACCGCCAGCCGUCCACAACUUCGACUAUUUGCUUCCAUUGUCGUCGACGACGUCUGCCCACCCCAAAGGAACCCCCCGCGUGAAGUCAAUCUUUUGGAAACCCCGGCCCAUUCGUUGGAAACGCUCACCUCCAUUCGAAAAAACCCAUUUAAAACCCCCCACACACCGAAACACUAUGCUGCUGGCCGUCCAUAACUCCGACUGUUUGCUUCCAUUGUCGUCGACAACGACUGCCCACCCCAAAGGACCCCCUGCGCGCGAAGUCAAUCUUCUGGAAACCCCGGCCCAUCCGUUGGAAACGCUCACCUCCAUUUGAAAAAACCCAUUCGAAAACCCUCACACACACCGAAACCCUCUGCCGCUAGCCAUUCACAACUCCGACCGUUUGCUUCCAUUGUCGUCGUCGACAUCUGCCCACCCCAAAGGACCCCCCGCGCCGAAGUCAAUCUUUUGGAAACCCCGGCACAUCCGUUCGAAACGCUAACCUCCAUUCGAAAAAUCUAUUCGAAACCCCCACACUCACCGUUGAUCGUCGGAACCCGAAAAUGCUGUCUCAUAAGACUUUUAGAAUGAAGAAGAAGCUCGCAAAGAAGAAGAGGCAUAAUAGGCCGAACCCGCACUGGAUCCGCCUGAGAAUUGACAACACGAUCGAUCCGUUACUAGUGUCGCACAAAGCUAGGGUUCUAAGGUGCUUUCGAUUCUUACCUUCAAUUGUCAUUUACCUUGAUUUUGUUAAGUUUCAUAAACUUGAAUUUUCUUAACGAUCUACAUUUGUAUUUCCGCAACUACUGAAAUUUAGUUUAUGGGAUACUUUUGUUUAAUUAUUGCUACACUCAAGAUUGAAGCACUUUGGAAUAGAGUGAAUUUACCAUAAAAAAUACUAAUAGAUGACUUUUAUUUCAAAAGAUAAGAUAUGAUCUUUAAAAUUUUAACAUUUCUAGUCCAUUUGAAAAACAUAGGUUCUCGAAAGUGCAAAUGAAUUCUGGAAAAAUUCACGAACAAAUUGUAGAGAUAUGUUGUAAGGGGUACAUUUGGAAGAUUUAGGAUAUUUUACAAGUACAUGGCUGUGGAAUACAAGAUCAGACUAUUGCAAACUAUUAUUCUUAUUGAGGAAAUAGAAAGAAGGUGAGAAAUUCAUCGCUCUAAAUUAGAAAGUACAUUUGGAGGAUUUAGGAUAUUUUACAAGUAGAUGGCUGUGGAAUGCAUGAUCAUAUUAUUGCAUAUUAUUAUUCUUACAGAGGAAAUAGAAAGAGCAUCAAAAAUUCAUCGCACCAUAUUAAGUGGGAUCAUAUACUUAAACCCACAUGCCUUAUCACCGAUUGUUUUUCCUGGUAUCUGGCUUUAAACUUUAGUUUCUUAGAUGCUAGAGCUUCCAGGUUAAUUCACGGAUCAGUACUCUACUGAUUCCUAUGUCAAAGUCCUGAUGAAAAUUGAGUGUGCUGACUUCUUGAAACAUUGCAAUUUUGUGACACUAAAAACUUGUUAGUUGUUAUAGUUAAAACAUAUAAGGUAUAUAUUGACUACUGUAUCAAAGUGUUCACACUUUGUUUCAGUAAAUAUAAUCUUUUAUGAUAGGGUGUUUUUGGAAGUUUGCAUCCAGCUAUGGUUGGUCUUAUUACGAGCAAUAUUGAAGUUUUAUGUCUGCAAAAGCCGAGCGGUGAUGCCCCCGACUUGGUUUUUUAGUCCCUAAACCCAAAACGUCGAAAAAGAGGCCAAUGCCACAGCCUUGAAAGAAACUACCCAGCUCAGAACAAUGUCAAAGGUCUUAGAAGUUCGCAUCCAACUACCGGGUGGUCUCAUUCCGAGCAAUAUUAAAGUUUUUUGCCCGUAAAAGCCGAGCGGUGAUGCCCCCGACUCGGUUUUUUAGUCCCUAAACCCAAAACGUCGAAAGAGGGGCCAAUGCCACAGCCUCGAAAGAAACUACCCAGCUCAGAACAAUGUCAAAGGUCUCGGAAGUUCACAUCCAGCUACCGGGUGGUCUCAUUCCGAGCAAUAUUGAAGUUUUCUGUCUGCAAAAGCCGAGCGAUGAUGCCCCGACUCGGUUUUUUAGUCCCUAAAACCAAAACGUUGAAGGAGUGGCCAAUGCCACGACCUCGAAAGAAACUACCCAACUCAUAACAAUGUCAAAGGUCUCGAAAGUUCGCAUGCAGCUACCGGGUGGUCUCAUUCCGAGCAAUUGUGAAGUUUUAUGCCCGCAAAAGCCGAGCAGUUAUGCCUUCGACUUGGUUUUUUAGUCCCUAAACCCAAAACGUCGAAAAAAAAGGUCAAUGCCACAGCCUCGAAAGAAACUACCUAUCUCAGAAAAAUAUCAAUGGUCUAGGAACUUCGCAUUAAGCUACUAGUGUUGAAAUUUUUUGUCCUAAAACUCGUAGUUUGUAAUCAUAUUUUGUUCAAUAAAGUUGUUAUUGAGAAAUUAAAUAUUAUAAUCCUAAAUCCAAUAAAUCAAGUUCCAAGGCUAUUUUUUUAAUAAACUGGAACUUUGUGUGUAAACAUAAAACGUGGAUCAAGUUCGAGUAUGUAUAGCCUAAAUAGUCUAUAGUAUAUGAAUAAAGGUUGGGCGCCUCAUUUAGAGAAACUAUGGAUGCGGCCACUUUGUAGUAUAAACGAGGUGAUCCUGAUCAUUCAUGUAGAGACAUGAAAGUAGGGGCAUCCUAUGUAAAGUGUUUAAUAUCUAUCUCUUGUAUUUUGGAACAAAUGUAUAGAGUAAUAUUUUGAAAUUAAUGAAGCGUUCGUUUUCUAUAAAGGUGUUCUAGUUUGUUUUGUCAUACUUGAAGACAACUUAUAUAAGUUAAGACCAACUAGAGCAAAUUUUGUCUUAAAUACUGAAAUAUUCAAAAAGUUUCUUCUAAUGCCUAUUUAUGGCACUUAAGACUUGGUCACAUAAAUCUCAAUAGGAUUGGGAGAUUGGUUAAAAGUGGGCUUCUAAGUCCGUUAGAAGAUAACUCUUUACCUCCUUGUGAAUCUUGUCUUGAAGGAAAAAUGACCAAGAGAUCUUCUAACCCUUAGAGCUCGUACAUUCGGACCUUUGUGGACCAAUGAAUGUCAAAGCUCGAGGUGGAUAUGAAUAUUUCAUCAGCUUCAUUGAUGAUUAUUCAAGGUAUGGUCAUAUUUACCUAAUACAUCACAAGUCUAAUAGUCUUGAAAAGUUCAAAGAAUAUAAGGCUGAAGUAGAAAACGAAUUAGGUAAAACAAUAAAAAUACUUCGAUCAGAUCGAGGUGGAGAGUAUAUGGACUUACGAUUCCGAGACUAUUUAAUAGAAAAUGGAAUCCAGUCACAACUCUCUGCACCUAGUACACCUCAACAGAACGGUGUAUCAGAAAGAAGAAACCGGACCUUGUUAGACAUGGUUCGCUCUAUGAUAAGUUUUUCUCAGAUGUCAGAUUCUUUUUGGGGAUAUGCUUUAGAAACAGCUGCUUAUAUUUUGAAUAAUGUUCCCUCUAAAAGUGUUUCAGAAACACCUUAUGAGCUAUGGAAAGGGCGUAAAGGCAGUUUACGUCAUUUUAGAAUUUGGGGUUGUCCAGCACACGUGUUGGUACAAAAUCCAAAGAAAUUGGAACAUCGUUCAAAAUUAUGCUUUUUUAUAGGUUAUCCAAAUAAAUCAAGAGGUGGUUUGUUUUAUGAUCCUCAAGAAAAUAAAAUACUUGUGUCAACAAAUGCCACAUUCUUAGAGGAAGACCACAUCAGGGAUCAUCAACCUCGUAGUAAACUAGUAUUAAAAGAAAUUUCCAAAAGUGCUAUAGAUAAACCUAGUUCAUCCACUAAGGUAGUUGAUAAGACUAGGAAAUCUGGACAAUCACAUCCUUCUCAACAGUUGAGAGAGCCUCGACGUAGUGGGAGGGUUGUUCAUCAGCCUGAUCGCUAUUUGGGUUUAAUUGAAACUCAAGUCGUCAUACCUGACGAUGGCAUAGAGGAUCCAUUAACCUAUAAACAGGCAAUGAAAGAUGUAGAUCGUGACCAAUGGAUCAAAGCCAUGGACCUCGAAAUGGAGUCUAUGUACUUUAAUUUCUGUCUGGACUCUAGUAGAUCAACCAAAUGACGUAAAACCUAUUGGUUGUAAAUGGAUCUACAAGAGAAAACGAGACCAUGCCGGUAAAGUACAGACUUUCAAGGCUCGACUUGUGGCAAAGGGUUAUACCCAGAGAGAGGGAGUAGACUAUGAGGAAACUUUCUCUCCUGUUGCCAUGUUAAAGUCAAUUAGAAUACUCUUAUCCAUCGCCACUUUUUAUGAUUAUGAAAUUUGGCAGAUGGAUGUCAAGACAGCUUUUUUGAAUGGUAAUCUUGAAGAGAGUAUCUAUAUGUCUCAACCAGAGGGGUUUAUAGAACAAGAUCAAGAACAAAAGGUUUGUAAGCUUAAAAAAUCCAUUUAUGGAUUAAAACAAGCUUCUAGAUCCUGGAAUAUAAGAUUUGAUACUGCGAUCAAAUCUUAUGGCUUUGAACAAAAUGUUGACGAGCCUUGUGUUUACAAAAAGGUCGUCAAUUCCAUUAUAGCAUUUUUAGUCUUAUAUGUAGAUGAUAUUCUACUUAUUGGAAAUGACGUAGGAUAUCUUACUGAUAUCAAGAAAUGGCUAGCUAUGCAAUUUCAAAUGAAAGAUCUGGGAGAUGCACAAUACGUUCUCGGAAUCCAAAUUGUUCGAAACCGUAAGAACAAAACACUAGCCAUGUCUCAAGCAUCUUACAUAGACAAAAUGUUGUCUAGAUAUAAAAUGCAGAAUUCCAAAAAGGGUCUGCUGCCGUACAGAUAUGGAAUUCAUUUGUCAAAGGAACAAUGUCCUAAGACACCUCAAGAAGUUGAGGAUAUGAGAAAUAUUCCCUAUGCUUCCGCUGUUGGAAGUUUAAUGUAUGCAAUGUUAUGUACUAGACCUGACAUUUGCUACUCAGUAGGGAUGGUCAGUAGGUAUCAAUCCAAUCCUGGACGUGAUCACUGGACAGCCGUUAAAAACAUUCUAAAAUAUCUUCGAAGAACAAAAGACUACAUGCUCAUGUAUGGUACAAAGGAUCUGAUCCUUACUGGAUACACUGAUUCAGAUUUCCAAACUGAUAAAGAUGCUAGAAAGUCUACAUCAGGAUCAGUAUUUACUCUAAAUGGAGGAGCAGUAGUUUGGAGAAGCAUAAAGCAAACUUGUAUAGCUGAUUCCACAAUGGAAGCUGAAUACGUAGCGGCUUGUGAAGCAGCAAAAGAAGCAGUAUGGCUAAGAAAAUUCUUGACAGAUUUGGAAGUCGUUCCAAAUAUGCAUCUACCAAUCACUUUAUACUGUGACAACAGUGGUGCAGUUGCAAAUUCAAGAGAACCUAGAAGCCAUAAAAGAGGAAAGCAUAUUGAACGCAAGUACCAUCUUAUCAGGGAAAUUGUACAUCGUGGUGACGUUGUAGUAACCCAGAUUUCUUCUCAGCAAAACAUUGCUGAUCCUUUUACAAAAGCUCUCACGGCUAAAGUGUUUGAGGGUCACCUACACAGUUUAGGUCUACGAUGUUUGUAAACUAGGACAAGUGGGAGACUUAUUGGCCAUGUGCCCUAGUUUUAUAUUCUCUCAUCUCUCAUACCACUAGGAAUUUUAGUCCAAGUGGGAGUUUGUUGGAAUUUUUUGUCCUAAAACUCGUAGUUUGUAAAUCAUAUUCUGUUCAAUAAAGUUGUUAUUGAGAAAUUAAAUAUUAUAAUCUUAAAUCCAAUAAAUCAAGUUCCAAGGCUAUUUUUUAAUAAACUUGAACUUUAUGUGUAAACAUAAACGUGGAUCAAGUUCGAGUAUAUAGCCUAAAUAGUCUAUAGUAUAUGAAAUAAAGGUUGGGCGCCUUAUUUAGAGAAACUAUGGAUGCGGCCCACUUUGUAGUACAAACGAGGUGAUCCUAAUCGUUCAUGUAGAGACAUGAAAGUGGGGGCAUCCUAUGUAAAAUGUUUACAUAAGACUGAACCAUGAAUUAGUCAUUUUUACGUUAUAACACCGUUUACUGUUUAAAACUGACUAUCUCAAUUAUUGAUGACCUAGGUAACUUAGUCUUAAUCCUGAGUUAACUAUGAACUCCUGUUCGCACGAGAUUAUCCUUAGAUCUGCAUAGGUGAGGGCAGCUCAUCAGCGUUGGCCCAAUAAGCCUCCCAUUUCAGGGGUAAGAUCGGGUGGAUAGCUGGGAACAUAGGGUACAAGAUGGAAUUCACUCCUACCCGCUUUAGGGUUAGUAGAUAGGUUGCUCUCUUAAGCACUGAAUCCAAGUCUUGAACAAGGGGCCCCACCCUCUCAUUGGCCCGAGAGGGAUUAAGUUUAUAGGUUGAACCUUAAACCAAUUGUUCAAUAGUGGAUUAGUGGGACUUAAGGAGCAAGAUGUAAUCUUGGGGGUAAAACGGUAUUUUGACCCAGCCAAGGUUACGAGCAACCUGUGAAGGAUUAACUUACUGAUUAUGGUUUUAUCAAAUGGACACAAAUAUAUCUAUAGUGAGGGGAGUGCAACUACGGGACUUUAGUGGAAUGACCCGUUAGUUAACGAAUGUUGAUUAACUCGGUUUAAAAGAGUUUAGCUAGUUAAUCUUGAAUCGUUGGAGCCCAUGAUCUAUAGGUCCAUUAGGUUCCUCUGCUAGCUCAUAUGGAUUAAACUUAGAACAGUGUGAUGAAAUAAGUCGAAUUGUUCGAAUUGGGAGAAGAAAGGGAAACCGACAAAUAUAGUGAUAUAGUCGUCGGUCUUCUAAUUAGAAAUAGAGCUUUAUGUUUUACAUACUAUAAGUAUGAAUGCGGAUUCAUACUAAGAAGCUCGGAAUUGGUCAAAAAUAGUAAAAAGUCAAAAUGUUGACUUUUGACUUUGAAAAGUCAAACUUUGACCGGCCUUAUAUUCAAAUGUGAUUUGAAUUUUGGAAAAAUGAAUGCGGAUUCAUGCUCGGGAGGUUGGAAUUAGUCAAGACGGACAAAAUGGUAAAAAGUCAAAAUAUUGACUUUUGACUUAGAAAAGUCAAAGUUUGACUUUUGACUAGAAAUAUCUAAUGACCAUUUUACCCUUGGACUAAGUUAGUGGGAAAAUCCAACAUUUUGUUGGAUAAUCCCACUAACUCUUAGUGGGAUAUGUGGCUAUAUGAGAUAUAGACACCUAGCCCACUAAGUUCCACUAAUUGUUAGUGGAAUAUUAGGUGUUGAGAUUUGGCAAAUGAAUUGCAUGCAUUUUUGCAUGCAAUUAGGCUAUAAAUAGAGGUGUUUUCAAAUGUUGAAGGACUUUUGCCUCUUUUAUCAUUUUCAUCAUCUCAACAAAAGAAAAAAGAAAGCUUCCAAUCUCAUUUUAUCUCCAUUACUUUCUACACCAAAAUUGGGUCCCACAACCCGGUUCUUUGUCUAGAGGAUAGCAGUUGAGUACUAGUGGUGGUCUCGGGUAGAAUUGGUAAGAAGACAUCAAACCUUUUGAAAGCUUCAAAGGUAAUACUUCUUAAAACCCUAAUUUGAUUAGUUUAUGGUUACAUGUUAAUUGUGGCAAUUAGGGUAGAAAUUCGAUUCUUUUUCCGCUGUGCAUGACUUAGUUCUAUCAUGUGGUAUCAGAGCAUGCUUCAUUUUUACCCAAUUGCAUGUGGUGGGUUCAUAUUUAUUAGAUAAAUUUUGGUUUGAACUAAAAUGGAUAUAUUAUGAUUUUGGCUCUAGAUUAAGUGUUUUUGUUCUAAUUAUUGUAAUUAGCCUUGUUAAUGGCUUAUUUUUAUUGUUGCAAAGUGUUUGUAAUUUUUAAAAAAAAUAAAAAAGGUCAUUAGAGUUGAAGCUAGGCUGUAAUUGGUUCAACCGGGUGAGAGAAUUGAAAAAAAAAUGAAGAAAAGAAGGUCACAGACCCGAAAACCCGGCCUUGACCCGCUUCGCGACCCGCACGCGCCCGCAUGCCCGCGCGCCCUCCUGCGUCCGCACGCGCGCCGCGCGCCCGCGCGCCCUCCUGCGCCCGCGCCGCCGCCUGCGCUCGCGCGCCUGCUCUGCGCCCGCGCGCCCUGCAUGCGCCCGUGCGCCCGCCUGUGCCCGCGCGCCCGCAUGCGCCUGCGCGCCCGCACGCCCGCCUUCGUCCGCGCGCCUGCCUUCGCACGACCCGUGUGCGCCUGGGCCGGUUCAAGCCAAUAAAUUUGGUUUUUGGGCCGGUUCAAGCGGUUUCGGUUGGUUUAUUUAGCCGGUUCGAAGUUUUUGGGAGUGGUUCUGUACUACACCAAAUUAAUUAUGUAAUAAUUUAGCACUUAGCUUAAUUUAGGAGCAAAAAAUCAGUCCAUUUUAGGGUGUUUUUUUUAUUUAUGCAUGUGAUGUAUGAUUAAAUUACUUUAAAUUUGUAUGUGCAUUUUGAAUGUCAUAUAGAUUUAAAAUCCCACCAUAGGUUAACAUGUUCAUGCAUUAAAAUGUAUGAUAUAAAAGUUAUAUUGUAUUGUAUGCAUGUUAAUUGAUUAAUAUGGAAAUUAAUUAAUAUGAUUAAUUAAUUAUUUAAUUAAUUAAGUUAUUCUUGAUUAAAUAUGAUUUAAUCAAAUUAAGUAAUUAUUGUUUGAUUUAAUCAAAGUACUGUUCACAGGUCACAUUUUGCUCCUGAUUUGGCCCAAGCGUUCCAUGUUCGUGAUCACCAAACCCAAUUGGACCGUGGUUCAUCUCGACCGGUUCAAUUUCAGACCGUUUCAUCCUUGUAGUUAGGUCACCAUUCGCCACCACCGCUCUGCGUUCACUGGCCGCCAAGUCAUGAACACGUUGAAGGCUCGUCAACGCCCUUCUCUUUACCGCCAUAGCUUCCUUGGACGAUUGCUUCAUCUUUCUGGUUAAGGGAUGUACGAAAUCACGAAAAUUCAACCAACAAAUACUCCAUUCGAUAUGGAAACCUCCAAUUUCAAAACCACCCUGUCAAUAUGAUUUAAUCGGAAUUCCACAAAUCAGCAGACGAAAAUGUAAGUUUAAUCCAAGAGAUGUCGAAUUCAAUCUGGAAUCCACUGUUAACAAUCCCCACGAAUUCAAUUGAAUCUUCAAUUGGAUAUUGAUACAGAUCUCGUCUUCACCAGUCAAGCGGAAGAAUUUUUAUGAAUCGCGCCUAACCCUGUAGACUUACAAAUCGGACGUUGAUACUCCCAAAUCCAGGCGAAAACCACCGCUAAAUGGCUCUAAUUGAUCUCCAAUAACAUUCCACACUCAACAGCAGUUCAUCGAAGACAACUGAUUCACCGUCUGCAACAUCAACCAGUCGCGCGGGAGAAAAAUCGAAGAUCCUUGGGAGACGCACGUGAAGUACACGCACUCGCUUCUUGAAAGUAUUUAUAAUAGAUUGAUCACCGUUCGGAUUUUGUGGGCAAGAAACUUCGAGAUCACUCAAAAUGGGACCACCAAGAAGUUAGAUGUGAACUUUCGAGGCCUCCGACUCCGUUCUAAGUCUGAUCGUUCCUUUCUAAGCCAUUGGCCAUUUAUUCGGCGUUUUGGGACGGAACCAAAAAAUCGAGUCUAGGCAUCACCGAUCGGCCUUUGUGGGCAAGAAACUUCGAGUCACUCAAAAUCAGACCAAUCAAUAGUUAGAUGAGAACAUUCGAGACCUCCGACCCCGUUCUAAGUCCGGUCCUUCCUUUCUAGGGCAUUGGAACUUUCUUCAGCGUUUUGGGACGGAACCAAGAAACCCAGUCUGAGGCAUUACCGUUCGGCUUUUGUGGGCAAGAAACUUCAAGAUCAAUCAAAAUUGGACCACCCAGUAGUUAGAUGUGAACUUUCGAGGCCUCCAACCCCGUUUUAAGUCCGAUCGUUCCUUUCUAGACCAUUGGCCCUUUCUUCGGCGUUUUGGGACGGAACCAAAAAACUGAGUGUAGGGUAUCACCGUACGGCUUUUGUGGGCAAGAAACUUCAAGAUCACUCAAAAUCGGACCACCCAGUAGUUAGAUGUGAACUUCCGAGGCCUCUGACCCCGUCCUAAGUUCGGUCGUUCCUUUCUAGGCCAUUGGCCGUUUCUUCGGCGCUUUGGGACGGAACCAAAAAACCGAGUCUGGGGCAUCAACGUUUGGCUUUUGUAGGCAAGAAAGUUUGAGAUCACUCAAAAUCGGACCACCCAGCAGUUAGAUGUGAACUUUCGAGGUCUUCGACCCCGAUCUAAGUCCGGUCGUUCCUUUCUAGGCCAUUGGCCCUUUCUUCAGCGUUUUGGGACGAAACCAAAAAUUCGAGUCUAGGACAUCAUCGUUCGGCUUUUAUGGGCAAGAAACUUCUAGAUCACUCAAAAUCGGACCACCCAGUAGUUAGAUGUGAACUUUCGAGGCCUCCAACAUCGUUUUAAGUCUAGUCGUUCCUUUCUAGGCCAUUCGCCCUUUUUCGACGUUUUAAAAUGAAACCAAAAAACUAAGUCUAGGCAUUACUGUUCGGCUUUUGUGGGCAAGAAACUUGGAGACCACUCAAAAUUGGACCACCCAGUAUUUAGAUGUGAACUUUCGAGGCCUCCUACCCCGUUCUAAGUCCGGUCGUUCCGUUCUAGGUCAUUGGCCCUUUCUUCGGCGUUUUGGGACGGAACAAAAAAAUCGAGUAUGGGGCAUCAUCGUUCAGCUUUUGUGGGCAAGAAACUCUGAGAUCACUCAAAAUUGGACCACCCAUUAGUUAGAUGUGAACUUUCGAGGCCUUCGACCACGUUCUACGUCCGGGCGUUCGUUUCUAGGCCAUUGGCCCUUUCUACGGCGUUGUGGGACGGGACCAAAAAGUUGAGUCUAGGGCAUCAUUGUUUGGCUUUUCGUGGGCAAGAAGCUUCGAGAUCACUCAUAUUCGGAUCACCCAGUAGUUAGAUGUGAAUUUUCGAGGCCUUCGACCCCGUUCUAAGUCCGGUCGUUCCUUUCUAGGCCAUUGGCCCUUUCUUCUGCAUUUUGGGGCUGAACCAAAAAACCGAGUCUAGGGCAUCACCGUUAGGCUUUUGUGGGGAAGAAACUUCGAGAUCAGUCAAAAUCGGACCACUCAGUAUUUAGAUGUGAACUUUCAAGGUCUCCGACCCCGUUCUAAGUCCGGUCGUUCCUUUUAGGCCAUUGGCCCUUUCUUCUGCAUUUUGGGACGAAACCAAAAAACUGAGUCUAGGGCAUCACUGUUCGGUUUUUGUGGGGAAGAAACUUUGAGAUCAGUAAAAAUUGGACCACCCAGUAGUUAGAUAUGAACUUUCGAGGGCUCCGACCCCACUCUAAUUCCGGUCAUUCCUUUAUAAGCCAUUGGCCCUUUCUUCGGCGUUUUGGGAUGGAACCAAAAAAUUGAAUAUGGGGCAUCACCAUUCGGCUUUUGUGGGCAAGAAACUUAGAGAUCACUCAAAAUCAGAUCUCCCAGUAGUUAGAUGUGAACUUUCGAGGCAUCUGACCCGAUUCUAAGUCCUAUCGUUCCUUUCCAAGCCAUUGACCCUUUUUUCGACGUUUUGGGACGGAACCAAAAAAUCGAGCCUGGGCAUCACCGUUCGGCUUUUGUGGGCAAGAAGCUUUGAGAUCAAUUAAAAUUGGACCACCCAAUAGUUAAAUGUGCACUUUCAAGGCCUCCGACCCCGUUCUAAGUCCAGUCGUUCCUUUCUGGGCCAUUGGCCCUUUUUUCGGCGUUUUGGGACGGAACCAAAAAACCUAGUCUGGAGCAUCACCGUUCGGCUUUUGUGGGCAAGAAACUUUGAGAUCACUCAAAAUUGGACAACAUAGUAGUAAGAUUUGCACUUUUGAGGCCUCCGACCCCGUUCUAAGUCCGGUCGUUCCUUUCUAGGCCAUUGGCUCUUUCUUCGGCGUUUUGGGACGAAACCAAAAAACUGAGUAUGAGGCAUCAUCUUUUGGUUUUUGUGGGCAAGAAACUUCGAGAUCACUCAAAAUUGGACCACCGAGUAGUUAGAUGUGAACUUUCGAGGCCUCCGACCCCGAUCUAAGAUCGGUCGUGCAUUUCACGGCCAUUGACCCUUUCUUCUGUGUUUUGGGACGCAACGAGAAUACUGAGUCUAGGGCAUCACCGUUUGGCUUUUGUAGGCAAGAAACUUCGAGAUCACUCAAAACCAGACCACCCAGUAGUUAGAUGUGAACUUUCGAGGCAUACGACCCCAUUCUAAGUCUGAUCGUUACUUUCCAAGCCAUUGGCCCUUUUUUCGACGUUUUGGGACGGAACAAAAAUAUCGAGCUUGGGGCAUCACCGUUCGACUUUUGUGGGCAAGAAACUUUGAUAUCAAUCAAAAUUGGACCACCGAAUAGUUAGAUGUGCACUUUCAAGGCCUCCGACCCCGUUCUAAGUCCAGUCGUUCCUUUCUGGGCCAUUAGCCCUUUUUUCGGUGUUUUGGGACGGAACCAACAAACCUAGUCUGGAGCAUCACCGUUCAGCUUUUGUAGGCAAGAAACUUUAAGAGCACUAAAAAUUGGACCACAUAGUAGUUAGAUGUGCACUUUCGAGGCCUCCGACCUUGUUAUUAGUCCAGUCGUUCCUUUCUAGGCCAUUGGCCCUUUCUUCGGCGUUUUGGGACAAAACCAAAAAACUGAGUAUGGUGCAUCACCGUUCGGCUUUUGUGGGCAAGAAACUUCGAGAUCACUCAAAAUCGGACCACCUAGUAAUUAGAUGUGAACUUUCGAGGCCUCCGACCUCAAUCUAAGACCGGUCGUUCCUUUUAGGGCCAUUGGCCCUUUCUUCGGCGUUUUGGGACGGAACGAGAAAACCGAGUCUAGGACAUCACCGUUUGGCUUUUGUAGGCAAGAAACUUCGAGAUCACUCAAAACCAGACCACCCAGUAGUUAGAUGUGAACUUUCGAGGCCUCCGACCCCGUUUUAAGUCUGAUUGUUCGUUCCUUUCUAGGCCAUUGGCCCUUUCUUCGGCGUUUUUGGACGGAACCAAAAAAUUGAGUCCAGGGGAAGAUACUUCGAUAUAACUCAAAAUUGGACCACCUAGUUGUUGGAUGGGAUCUUUCAAGGUCUCCGACCCCGUUUUAAGUCUGGUCGUUUGUUUCUAGGCCAUUGGCCCUUUCUUCGAUGUUUUGGGAUAGAACGAAAAGACUAAGAAAGUGGGAGAAGAACAAAUUUACUUUCUAGGCCAUUGAGUGUUGAGUGUUGUUGGAUAUCAAUUGAAGGUUUUAAACGGUGAUUUUCGUUUGGAUUGGGAUUAUCAACGUCCGAUCUGUAAGUCUAUGGGGUUACGCACGAUUCAUAAAAAUUUAAAAUCUUCUGCUUGACUGGUGAGGAAGAGAUCUGUAUCAAUAUUCAAUUGAAUUUGUGGGGAUUGUUAACGGUGGAUUCCAUAUCGAAUUUGACAUCUCGGGGAUUAAAUUUACACUUUAGUCUGUUGAUUUAUGGAGUUUUGGUUAAAUCAGAUUGAGGGUGGUUUCAAAAUCGAAGGCUUCCCGAUUGAAUGGAGUACUUGUUGGGUGAAUUCUCUUGAUUUAGUACACCCCUUAACCUAGAAGAUGAAGCAAUCGUCCAAGGAAGCUAUGUCGGUGAAGAGAAGGGCGUUGACGAGCCUUCAACGUGUUCAUGACUUGGCGGCUAGUGAACGCAGAGCGGCAGUGGCGAACGGUGACCUAACUACAAGGAUGAAACUGUCUGAAAUAGAACCGGUCGAGAUGAACCAUGGUCCAAAUGGGAUUGGUGAUCAAGGAUGUGGAGCGCUUGGGCCAUAUCACGAGCAAAAUGAGAUCUGUGACUAGGAGUUUGGGUCGAUGGAUAUUAGGCCUCCAGAGAAGGAGAUCUUACAUGAUGGGCCAAAUACAACUGACGGACCUUCCACCAAUAGAAAUGGGUCUGGGAUGAAGGCUUCUACAAGGGUUUUUAAGAUAUGGCCGACUGAUGGAAUAUUGAUGUUAAUUCAAAGGGUGGUCGGCUGCUCUGAUCCAUGGUUAGUAUGUGCAGAUUGCAAAGAAUUCAGGGGGUGAAGGCAAAAAACCGAAUUCUUGGGCUUCCUUAUUUGGUUCAACAAGUGGGACCUCCUUGACCUACACUCCUCCAACUACCGUAGGAGAGAAAUUUGUGGUGACACCGUCGGAAGAAGUUAUUAGUCAAGGAGUUAGUGUGUAGGAGAACUCCCUCGUCGAGCAAUUAAUUGAUGCCAAAUUUCCAUAUACAGUCAUAUGUCGGCUCAUCGAAAAAAUUUGGGGUUGAAUUAAAAUGCCCACAAUCACACUGAUGGAGAAUGAACUCAUAUGCUUUCAAUUCAACCGUCCGAAGUCGAUAUAGUGGAUCUUAUCCCGUGGCCCAUGGCACCUUGGAGGUAAACCUAUGCUCCUCUAAAAAUGGAGUCCAGGUAUUGUUCUUGAAACCUUUGUUUUUGAUUCAGUACCUGUUUGGAUAAAGUUAGGGAGGAUCCCUUUGGAGUUAUGGACAGAUGCUGGUUUGGCUGUUGUAGCGAGUGCGAUAUGAAAACCUUUAUCUUUUGAUCUUGCUAUCAAAGAAAGACGUCGUUUGUCUUAUGUUCGUAUAUGUGUGGAAUUGAAUGUGGAAAGUAGUAUGUCUGCCGAAAUAACUUUCAACCUUAGAGGAGCAGAAUUCAUUGUAACCGUUGCUUACGAGUGGAAACUGAGGAAAUGUAAUUUGUGUAGAUCAUUUGGACACUUGUCGAGCACCUGCCCUAAAAUUGAAGUUAGUAAAAAGGAAGCUGUAAGUAAAGAGGAUCCUGUUCAAGAGAUAGUUCCUACUAAAGAGGUGGUUACGACGUGUGAGAAGUUUGGCGAUGUUGUGUUGGAAUCCUUCUAACACCUAAAAGAAGGAGAAAUCAAUACCAUAAACUACCUGAAAAGGUGGAGGAAAAUUGGGAGGAAUUUACCCUAUUUGAUAGGAAAAAUAAGGGGAUGAUCUCUAUUAGGGACAAAGGGAAAAGGGCGGAAGUGAGUAUCACUAACUCCUUUGAUAGCCUCAUGGAGGUGGAUAAAGGAGAUAAAUGGGCUUUAUCUAUAGUGGAUGGCUCCCCUCCACCCUUACGAGUAGAUGACUCUGCUAUGGUCCUGUUGAGUACUACAGGUGAUGUAAUUCCUAUGGAAGAGGUGACUCCCAUACGACCUUAUGGUUAGUUGGUGUACGUGGAAUGUGUGGGGCCUUAAUAGCCCUGUAAAGUGUAGAGCGGUGAAGGACUUCUUAGCCGUGUCUACGGUGGGUUUCUGUUGCAUUCUGGAGACUAGAGUUUGAGAGGAGAACUUUGUCUCCAUUUCCAGCAAAUUUGGUGAUUCAUUGGGGUUCACUAGUAACUACAGUAAUAGUGGAUAGGUCGAAUGUGGAUUAUGUGGAAACGUAACAAAUUCGUGUUCACGACUUAUGAGGUUGCCGACCAGUUUAUUUAUGGUGUGGUAACAGAUUUGAUCUCUGGGGAGAAGGUAGAGGUUUUGUGUGUGUAUGCCUCUAAUAGUAAUAUUGAGAGACGUGUUUUAUGGAGGCGAAUGGCUGAGAUCUCUGCUGGUUGGAGAGGGCCAGGUAUGGUCAUGCGUGAUUUUAACACCAUCAGACUCCACUCUGAAGCCUUCGGGGGUGCUCCGAGCAUGGGGGACAUGGAGGAGUUUGACAUGGCUAUUCGAGAGGCGGACCUUGUUGAACCCGCGGUCUAGGGGAACUGGGUUUACUUGGACUAGUAAAAUACAUGGGUCGGGUUUGAUGAGGAGACUUGAUCGUAUCCUAGUGAAUGAUGAGGGGCUUGUUGGAUCGGUAUGGCAACCCUAGAGAGGGGUGAAUAGGGUUUAAAUAAACUUUUUGACAAAUAAAAAGUAAAAUCAACUAAUUAGAUAUUUUCUAAAAUUUAAAUAAAGAACUUUGUAAACUUUGUUAAAUAACAAGAUUGAUAAAAAGAUAUGAAUGGAAGUAUGCAAUCAAACUCAACCAAUAAGAAUAUGUAACUAAAAUUAAAUUAAAAAAUAAUUAGAAAAGAGUUAGAGAAGAAGACACCGUAAUUUUAUAGUGGUUCGGUUAAACUCAACCUACAUCCACUUUCCCAAGCACCUCUUGGGAUUUUGAUUGAAAAUCUUCUAUGGACUCUUUCCAAGGAUUUGAGCCGAACCGAUUCUUGCUCCUUUUUCGGGUUCAAGAGCAAACCCGAUCCUUUCCACGGGUUAGGAUCCAACCGUUACAAUAUGUUGAAGUUUUUAAAUCAAGCAAAAGAAAACUCUCUAAAAGAGUGAGUAUGCAAUUUGAAGCUCACAGAUUUAAUCCUCACAAUACAAGAGGCGUUAGAAUCAUUUUUCCAAGCUCUACGAUAAGGUCUAUUCAAAUUAAUAAAAUUGUCAAUAAAAAAAAUCAGAUUUGUUAUCAUCAAAACAUAAAUUAAUUGAAUAAUUAAAAUAAAUUAAUUUGAGAUUAAGGGCCAAAAAGCCAACAAUCUCCCCCUUUUUGAUGAUGACAAAUCAUUGAAGAAAAAUAACUUGAAACACACAUGAUCAACAAGUAAUUCUAUUAUCAAGAUGUAUAACCAUAAAGCUCAUGUAUAUAUUUCACCACAAAGAUCAUACUUGAAAACAAUUGAUAAGAGAACCUUCUUUGUCCUUAAUUAAUUUUUCUCUAAAAAAAUAUGCAUUAUUCAAUAGAAACAAUUAUGCAACAAAUUGAUAAAAACAUAUUUUUCUUAUACUUCUCCCCCUUUGGAAUCAUCAAAACAAUACCAAGGAAGUUAGCUCUCCCAAAAAAAUAUGAACACAUACAAAAUGUCUAAUUCUCCCCCUAUCAAUAUGCAUUAGGGUAACAAUAUCAAGUAAGAUAUAAAAUCAAGAUGCAUCACAACGAAUAAUUCCAAGCUCAAGCCUAUUUUUACAAAAGCUUUCUUCACUCAAAGGUUUGGUAAAUAUAUCCGCUAAUUGAUUAUUGGAACUUACAAACUCAAGAGUAAUAUGACCAUUUUGUACAUGCUCUCUAAUAAAGUGAUGCGUAAUAUCUAUAUGCUUAGUUCUAGAAUGAUGAAUAGGAUUCUUAGUCAAAUUUAUGGCACUAGUAUUAUCACAAAAUAUAGGCACAUUAUCAAAUUUUAAUCCAAAAUCACAAAGAGUUUGUUUCAUCCAAAGAAUUUGUGCACAACAACUAGCAACCGCAAUAUAUUCCGCUUCGGUAGUGGAUAAGGAACCGAAUUUUGCUUUUUACUAAACCAAGAUACUGAGGAACUACCAAGAAAUUGACAAGUCCCACUAGUACUUUUACGGUCAAGUAAACUACCGGCAAAGUCUGCAUCAGAAUAUCCUACCGAAUUAAACUCAACAUUUCUAGGAUACCAUAAUCCAACAUCAAUAGUUCCAAGCAAAUAUUUAAGUAUCCUUUUAACGGCAUGGAAAUGUGAUUCUUUAGUACAAGAUUGAAAUCUAGCACAAAGACAUACACUAAACAUGAUAUCGGGUCUACUAGCGGUCAAAUAAAGUAAAGAUCCGAUCAUACCUCGAUAAGUCUUUAUAUCCACACACUUACCUUUUUCAUCUUUGUCAAGCUUAGUGGUAGUGCUCAUAGGAGUUUUUGCAACUUUACCUUCAUUUAAUUUGAAUUUCUUGAGCAAAUCCCUUGUGUAUUUUUCUUGACUUAUGAAGAUGUCAUCCUUGAGUUGUUUGAUUUGAAGACCAAGGAAGAAACUAAGUUCUCCCAUCAUACUCAUCUCAAACUCAUGAUGCACACACUUGGAAAAUUCUUCACACAAAGAUGAAUUAGUAGAACCAAAUAUAAUAUCAUCCACAUAAAUUUGUACUAUAAGCAUGUCAUUAUUUUUAACUUUAAUAAAUAGAGUAUUAUCAAUUUUUCCCAUCUUAAAGUCAUUCUCAAGUAAAAACUUGCUAAGUCUAUCAUACCAAGCUCUUGGAGCUUGUUUUAAGCCAUAAAGAGCCUUUUUCAACUUAUAAACAUGAUUAGGUAAAUCAAAACUUUCAAAGCCCGGAGGUUGUUCUACGUAAACUUCCUCCACAAUAUAACCGUUUAAAAAAGCACUUUUUACAUCCAUUUGAUACAAAAUGAAAUUUUUAUAAGAAGCAAAAGCAAGCAACAUUCUAAUAGCUUCUAAUCUAGCAACCGGUGCAAAAGUCUCUUCAUAAUCUAUACCUUCUUCUUGACAAUAACCUUGAGCUACAAGUCUAGCUUUAUUUCUAAUGAUAUUUCCAUUUUCAUCCAUCUUAUUUCUAAAAACCCAUUUUGUUCCGAUUAUAGAUGCAUUAGAAGGCCUAGGGACUAAUUUCCAAACUUUGUUUCUUUCAAAUUGAUUUAAUUCUUCUUGCAUAGCUAAAAUCCAAAACUCAUCACAUUCGGCAUCUUUAAAACUUCUAGGUUCAAUUUGAGACACAAAAGCAAGAUUACUAAAUAAAUUAAGAGAAGAACGAGUUUUGACACCUUGUUCGGGAUUGCCAAGAAUUAGAUCCUUGGGAUGGGAUUAGAGCAUAUCUCCACUCUUUAGGCAAGGAUGAAGAACCCUUUUCUUUCUUUUCUAUGAUGUUCACAUCUUGCAUACUUGGAACAAUUUCUUUGCCUUUGUCAUUAACAAGUAAAUCUCCAAAAUCUUUUUCUAAAUCAUCACUACAAAUAGACUCAUUAGAAACAUUAUUCCAAAAGAUUCAUCAAAUACAACAUGAAUAGAUUCCUCAAUAACUAAAGUUUUCUUAUUGAAAACUCUAUAAGCUUUACUAGUAGAGGAAUAUCCUAGAAAAAUACCAACAUCCGUCUUAGAAUCAAAUUUUCCAAGUUUUUCUUUGUUAUUCAAAAUAAAACAUUUACAACCGAAAACUUUGAAAUACCCAAUAUUUGGAAUUUUUCCAUGCCAAAGUUCAUAAGGAGUUUUAUCUAAAGAGGGUCUAACUAAAACUCUAUUUGAAACAUAGCAAGCGGUGUUAACGGCUUCCGCCCAAAAAUAUUUAGGUAAACCAUACUCAUUCAACAUUGAUCUAGCAAAUUCUUGCAAAGUACGAUUUUUCCUUUCAACUACACCAUUUUGUUGAGGAGUUCUUGGAGAGGAAAAAUUAUGGGAAAAACCAUUUUCUUCACAAAAAGCUUUAAAAGCAUCAUUAUCAAAUUCUCCUCCGUGAUCACUCCUAAUUUUGGAAAUAAAAAAUCCUUUUUCAUUUUGUACUCUUUUUGCAAAACUAAUAAAACUUUUCAAAGCAUCAUCCUUAUGUUUUAUCAUCAAAACCCAAGUAAAUCUAGAAAAAUCAUCAACUAUCACAAAAGCAUAAUAAUUUCCUCCAUAGCUAGCAAUUCUAGAAGGGCCAAAUAAGUCCAUGUGUAAUAGUUGUAAGGGUCUAGUAGUAGAGAUCACAUUUUUAGAUUUGAAAGAGGACUUAGUUUGCUUACCCAUUUGACAAGCAUCACAAACUUUGUCUUUUUCAAAUUUAAAACUAGGAAGACCUCUAACCAAACAAUUUUUAGAAAUAUUUGAAAUUAAGUGCAUGCUAGCAUGUCCUAGUCUUCUAUGCCAUAACCAAGAAUCAUUAUGCAAAACCGAAAGACAUUUAUCAAUAAUAGGAUAAUCAUUCAAAUCAAGAGUGUACACAUUUUUCAUCCCUAUUUCCAACAAACAAAACUUUUCUAUCACUAACAUUUUCAAUUAUGCAAUUUUUUUUAUCAAAUAUUACUCUAAAUCCUUUAUCACACAAUUGACUAAUACUAAGCAAAUCAUGCUUUAAACCAUCAACCAAAUGAACAUUUUCAAUCAAAGUAGAUGAAUCAUUUCCUAUAUUACCCUUACCAAUUAUUUUACCUUUCUUGUUGUCACCAAAGGUUACCAUGCCUCCAUUCUUUUUGGAGAAAGAGAUAAGCUUGGAUCGGUCUCCCGUCAUGUGUCUUGAGCAACCACUAUCCAAGUACCAUUUGUUUUUCUUGGAGGCUUUCAAACAAACCUAAAAACAACUAAUUUCAAGUUUGAUCCUUUGGUACCCAUACUUGUUUGGGUCCUAGAAUGUUAGCAUUUACAUAUUUAGGGAUCCAUUUCAUUUUUUCAUAGACAUUACAAGCACUAGAUCUAGAUAGGUAACAAGAAUAAGCUUUAUGUCCAUACUUGCCACAAGAAAAACAAACAACAUUAUGCAAAGAUUUAUUUUUCAUAACAAAUUUAUGUACUCUACUUUUAUUGGAGAAAUUCUUCCUUGGAGCAAUGUAAAACUUUGCUCUUUGCGAAAAAUUUCUUCUUGAAUAAGUAUUUUGAGCAUACUUCAAUUUAAAGCAUUUAGGUCUAAUGUGACCUUCAACACCACAAUUAUGACAUAUGGGUACAAAACUAGAUUUAACAUGAUUAGACACAUGAUUAGACAUGUUAAACUUAGGCACAAUAGGUGAUGCUUUAACGAAUGUAGUUUUAGAACUUGAAGGAGUAGAUGAUUCAUCAAUAUAGCCUAAACCUCUCUUAUCACCAUAAGAUUUUCCUACUUCAAUAAUUUUGUCCAAUCUUUGAGCACCUAUUGUCAACUUUUUAAUAGUUUCUUUAGCUUUAUCAAGUUCUUGUAAAACACUUAGUUCAUUUUCUUUAAGCACUUUAAUCAAGUUAUCUUUUUCACAACUAUCAUGCUCAAGAAAUCUAACUUUAUCAAGCAAAGCAUCUUUCUCAAUACAAACAUGCUUAUCACUAGAGACAUUCAAUUCUUCAAUUUGCUCAAAAUUUUCAUUCUCUUUAAAGCAAGCAAUUGUAUCAAGUAAAGACUUAUUUUCACUAAUUAAAACAUUGUAUUUCUUCUUAAGCACAACAUACUUAGAACUAAGUUUUUCUAGGUCAUUUUGCAUGCUUUCAAAAUUUUCAAAUAAUUCAUCAAUAGAAAGAGGUUCUAGAGUUACCUUAUCAUCAUGUUCAUCAUCUUUGUCACUAUGAGCCAUGAGACCAAGAUUUGCCAUUUCUUCAACUUCACUUUCACUUUCACUACUAUCAUCCCAUGUAGCCUUCAUUGCCUUCUUCUUGGAUUUCUUAGAUGAUUUGAGGAGAGGACAAUCCGUUCUUAUAUGACCCGAUCUUUUGCAUUCAUAACAAAUCACCUCAUCCUUUUUGCUUUUCUCACCUUUUGACUCUUUUUGGGUUGAUAGGUGUUUCUUGAAAUAUUUCUUUCUUUUUAUGAAAUUUUUGUACUUACGUGAGAAAUAAGCAAUGUCAUCUUCAUCAAGGCCAUCCUCAUCUUCGGGAUCAACUUCCAAGGAGAUAGUCUUUAAUGCAAUGCUCUUCUUCUUUUUGGACUCAUCCUCCAAGUGCUCCUUCAUGAUGAUCUCAUGAGUCAUGAGUGAGCCAAUAAGCUCCUCUAGUGGAAGUUUGGUGAGAUCCUUUGCUUCUUGAAUCGCCGUUACCUUAGCUUCCCAAGUCUUAGGUAGAGACCUUAGAAUUUUUCUAACAUUUUCGGAAGUUGUAUAAACUUUACCAAGACCCUUCAAAGCAUUUAUGAUGUUAGUAAAUCUAGUAAACAUAUCGGUGAUAGUCUCAUUAGCAUCCAUCUUAAACAAUUCAUAAUUAUGAACAAACAUGCUAAUUUUAGACUCUUUAACUUGAUUUGUUCCUUCAUGAGUAAUUUCAAGAGUAUUCCAAAUUUCUUGAGCGGAAGAACACAUGGAUAUUCUAUUAAAUUCAUCUUUACUCAAGGCACAAUACAAACAAUUAAUAGCCUUAGCAUUAAAUGAACACUUUUUCAUUUCAUUUUCAUCAUACUCUUCUUCUAAUUUAGGCGUAUCAACAUUAUCAACAUUUUUCAUGGGUACAUAAGGACCUUUAGCAACAAUUAACCACAAAUUAUAGUCAAUAGAUUGCAAAUAAAUUUUCAUUCUAGCUUUCCAAUAUGCAUAAUUUGAACCAUCAAAAUAAGGAGGUCUAGAAGUAGAUUGACCUUCAACAAUACCAUUUGCCAAUAGGUUUGCCAUAAUGCUCUAACAAUAAAGUUUAUCAAGAAAUUAAAAUUUCAAGAUGAGCAACCUUGCUCUGAUACCAAUUGUUGGAUCGGUAUGGCAACCCUAGAGGGGGGUGAAUAGGGUUUAAAUAAACUUUUUGACAAAUAAAAAGUAAAAUCAACUAAUUAGAUAUUUUCUAAAAUUUAAAUAAAGAACUUUGUAAACUUUGUUAAAUAACAAGAUUGAUAAAAAGAUAUGAAUGGAAGUAUGCAAUCAAACUCAACCAAUAAGAAUAUGUAACUAAAAUUAAAUUAAAAAAUAAUUAGAAAAGAGUUAGAGAAGAAGACACCGUAAUUUUAUAGUGGUUCGGUUAAACUCAACCUACAUCCACUUUCCCAAGCACCUCUUGGGAUUUUGAUUGAAAAUCUUCUUUGGACUCUUUCCACGGAUUUGAGCCGAACCGAUUCUUGCUCCUUUUUCGGGUUCAAGAGCAAACCCGAUCCUUUCCACGGGUUAGGAUCCAACCGUUACAAUAUGUUGAAGUUUUUAAAUCACACAAAAGAAAACUCUCUAAAAGAGUGAGUAUACAAUUUGAAGCUCACAAAUUUAAUCCUCACGAUACAAUAAGAAGCUCUCAAGAAUAAGAUGAAAAGAAUAAAAAUUGGAAGCUUUAGAGAGAAUAACAAUGUUGGCUUUUUGCACUUUUUGAGGAUUGUAAAGAUUUUGAUGAUCUUGUGUAAAUGUGAAGUAUUUAAAAAGAGAGGAAAGAUAAAUUCAAAAUCAUUUGGGUCAUUAGAUAUAAGUAAAAGAAAAAUGAAUGGUUGAGAUUUAAACUUAAUUAGCCGUUAGACACAAUACAAAUAAUAAUAUAAUAAUAUGUCUUUUCAAAAUACUUUGUUUAAAAAGAAAUCAAUAAAGCAACUUCACCCUCUUUUAAAAAAACUAGCCGUUAGACACAAGAAAAAAUAAUAAUAUUAAAAUCAUUUUUCUUUUAAAUUCAUUUUCUUUAUAAAAGCCAAUAAAACAUAACAAAAAGCCACAUUUGUUACUCCUUCAUUGCUCCAAGUGGCUUUCUCUAAUUGGUUCAAAUUGAAUGCUUGGUCGCCACGUCACCAUCUCGGGUAUUUUUUUCGUUAAGCUUCUUUUAGCAAUAUUUUCUUCAUUUGAACUUCGAUUUGGGUGAUUCAAGAGGCGUUAGAAUCAUUUUUCCAAGCUCUACGAUAUGGUCUAUUCAAAUUAAUAAAAUUGUCGAUAAAAAAAAAAAUCAGAUUUGUUAUCAUCAAAACAUAAAUUAAUUGAAUAAUUAAAAUAAAUUAAUUUGAGAUUAAGGGCCAAAAAGCCAACAGGGCUUAGUGCAUGGCCUAACAUGAGGGUUAACGUCCUCCCAUGGGGUAUUUCUGAUCAUUCUCCCAUACUUGUCUAUCCUAGUAAUCAGUGAAGCCAGCGUGUGGUCUCUUUUCGUUUCUUUAACCAUUGGGUUAAAGAAUCGUCCUUUAUGGAUGAUGUGUCCUCUACUUGGACCAAAGAUACUCGAGUUUCUCCAAUUGUGAAUAUUGUGAGGAACUUAAGAAAUCUCAAGUCGAUCCUUCGCAACCAUUUUGGUAAGCAUAUCUGGACCAUCAGUGAGGAUGUUCGUCUUGCCAAGGAUACCAUGGACCGAGCUCAGAGAGAGAUGGAGACGAACCCUCUAUCGGAGGAGGUGAGCAAUCACGCGAGCUUAGCCACGGUGAACUUUUGGAAAGCGGUUAGAGUGGAGGAAGCCGCUAUGCGCCAGAAGUCGCGAAUCAGAUAGUUGAAGCUAGGUGACCAGAAUACUGCCUUUUUUCAUCGAUCUGUUCGAUCAAGGCAGAGUAGUAAUGCUUUGAGAUCAGUUAUGGAUCCAGAUGGAAAUCGGUUGACUAAUCAUGAUCAGGUGUCUCAAGUGGUAGUUAAUUAUUUCAAAAAUAGUAUGGGAUCUCAGAAUAUUAGCUACAGAGAGCUUUCUACUAGUAUUGAGGAGAUUGUUCAGUUUAGAUGGACUGAGGAAUGUUGCCAGGCCCUCCAGGCGCCUAUUGGCAGGGAGGAAGUGAGACAUGUUCUGUUUUCCAUGGAUAGUGGAAAGGCUCCAGGCCCUUAUGGGUAUUCGGUUUGUUUCUUUAAAGGAGCUUAGACAGUGGUUGGAAAGGAUUUUUGUGAUGUCGUCUUACACUUCUUUGAGACCAAUUACUUCCCUCAAGGGGUGAAUACGACUCCCAUUACACUUAUUCCUAAAAGGAAUGAUGCUAAUCGGUUGGAGGAUUUUAGGCCUAUAUCUUGCUGUAACGUUAUUUACAAGUGCAUUUCAAGAAUAUUGGCAGAUCGGCUUUGUGAGUGGCUUCCUUCUUUUGUUAGUGAAAACCAGUGAGCUUUCAUCCCUGGGAGGAGUAUUAUUGACAAUAUUCUUCUUUGUCAGGAGCUUGUAGGGGGUUACCAUUGGCACAGAGGUAAACCUAGGUGCACUAUGAAGGUUGACCUCCAAAAAGCUUAUGAUUCUAUUAAUUGGAAUUUCCUCUUUGGCCUGCUGAUUGUCAUAGGUACGCCUUUAAGAUUUGUGAGUUGGGUUCGAGCGUGUGUGACCUCUCUGAUGUUCUCCAUUAUGAUCAAUGGAUCGUUGGAAGGUUUUUUUCCAUGGGAGGAAAGAACUUAGACAAGGUGAUCCUUUAUCCCUGUUCUUAUUUGUGAUGGUCAUGGAGGUGCUAUCUCGCAAGUUGAACAACCCGCCUCAGAAAUUUCAAUUCCACCAGUUUUGUGAGAUGGUCAGAUUAACUCAUCUUACUUUUGCAGAUGACCUGAUGAUCUUUUGUGCUGCUGAUAAUUAUUCUAUGAGUUUCCUAAAAGAGACUAUUAAGAGGUUUGGUUAGCUUUCGGAACUGUUUGCUAAUCUUGCUAAAAGCUUAAUUUUUCUUGUGGGGGUUAAUAGUUCGAAAGCUUCUUGGCUUGCUGCUAAUAUGGGUUUUUCCAUUGGCCACCUCCUUAUUCGUUAUCUUGGGCUUCCUCUCCUCUCUGGAAGAUUGCGGAGCUCUGAUUGUGAUCCCCUUAUUCAGUGUAUUACCAGUCGUAUUCGGUCUUGGUCUGCUAGAGUGUUAUCUUUUGCAGGUAGUCUUCAACUUGUUCGCUUAGUCCUUAGGAGCCUUUAGGUUUAUUGGGCUAGUGUGUUCAUGCUUCCUAUGAAAGUCCACAAAGACGUUGAUAAGAUUUUGAGGUCUUAUCUGUGGAGAGGUAAGGAGGAGGGUAGAGGUGGUGCUAAAGUUGCAUGGGAUGAGGUUUGUCUUCCUUUUGAUGAAGGAGGUCUUGCUAUUUGCGAUGGAUCUUCUUGGAAUAAAGCAAGCACGUUGAAGAUCUUAUGGUUGCUUCUAGUUAAAUCUGGUAGUUUAUGGGUUGCUUGGGUGGAAGCUUAUAUCCUUAAAGGGAGAUCGCUGUGGGAGAUCGAUGUUGGGGCGGGUCGAUCUUGGUGUUUUAGGGCAAUCUUGCGUAAGCGGGAUAUCCUUAAAGCUCAUGUUGAGAUGAAGCUGGGCAAUGUCAGGAAGUGUAGAAUGUUGUUGGAUGCUUGGAUUCAGGGUGGGAUGAUUAUCCAGCUAUUUGGGGAGAGGGUGAUAUAUGAUGCGGGUAGUCGGCGGGAUGCGAGGCUUAUGGAUUUCAUGGGUGGUGAUGGAGAUUGGAGGUGGUCGCUUGUUUCUUUGGAUUUGAUGGACAUUUGGGAUAUGAUUCAGGGAGUGAGGCUGAGUCCGAGUGUUGACGAUAGGUGGGUCUGGGUGUCGGGGAGACUUGAUAGUUUUUCGAUCGUAAGUGCAUGGGAGACUAUUCGUCCUAAUAGUAGUAGGGUUGGCUGGUCGGGUUUACUGUGGGGUGGGGGAAAUAUUACUGUGGGUCGGGUUUACUUCUGCGCUUGGUUGGCCAUCAGGGAUAGGUUGGGUACUAGAGAUAGGUUAAGUUGGUGGGAUAGGUUCAUUCCUUUAUCGUGUAUGCUGUGUGGAGGGAACUAUGAGUCUCGUGAUCAUCUUCUCAUAGGAUUUGUUAUUAAGGGGUUGAGUUAUCUUGGAUUUGCAGUCAGGGUGUUGGGAAGGGUGUGAGGAGAAAACUGUUGUGCCUUCUCUGGUGUGCUACAGUUUAUUUCAUUUGGCAGGAGCGAAAUCAUCGUCUUAAUGGAGGCGCUCUUCGGGAGCCUAUGGUUAUAUUCCAGCUCAUUCGGUCGUGUAUUAAAGCGAGUGCUGCUUCUUGCUUCGAUGGAGUUUAUGGUCUUAUUUAGUGUGCUUUUCUUUUGCUUGUCCUCGGGCUGUGGGGUUUUUUUUCUCUUUUUGUCUUUUUUGUCAUUCUCUUUUCAUCUUGUCCUUUUAUUGUUUAGCACUCUAGUUGGUUUCUUUUGGUUUUGGUUCUUGUCCCCGAGAUGUGGGGUUGUUUUGUCGUUCUACUUGUUUUUGUAAGUGUUGUUCGCUCUUGUGCCUUGACCUCAGGUUAUGAGGUCCACCUUGUUGUUAUAUAAUAUUAUCAUUACCUUUUCCACAAAAAAGCCGACCGGUGAUGCCCCAGACUCGGUUUCUUGGUUCAGUCCCAAAACGCCGAAGAAAGGGCCAAUGACCUAGAAACGAAUGACCGGACUUAGAACGAGGUCAGAAGCCUCGAAAGUUCACAUCUAACUACUGGGUGGUUCGAUUUUGAGAGAUCUCAAAGUUUCUUGCCCACCAAAGUCGAACGGUGAUGCCCUAGACUCGGUCUCUUGGUUCCGUCUCAAAACGCCGAAGAAAGGGCCAAUGGCCUAGAAAGGAACGACCGGACUUAGAACGGGGUUGGAGACCUCGAAAGUUCACAACUAACUACUGGAUGGAUCGAUUUUGAGUGAUAUCAAAGUUUCUUGACCACAGAAGCCGAACGGUGAUGCCUCCGACUAAGUUUCUUGGUUCCGUCCCAAAAUGCCGAAGAAAGGGUCAAUGGCCUAGAAAGGAACGAUCGGACUUAGAACGGAGUCGGAGGCCUCGAAAGUUCAUAUCUAACUACUAGGUGGUCCGAUUUUGAGUAAUCUCGAAGUUUCUUGACCACAAAUGUCGAACGGUGAAAGUGAGUGAUUUGGUUGUCUUCGAUGAAUUGCGGCAGCGUGGAUUGAAUUCGGUGAUUAGUUUAGUCACUACGAUGUGGUUUUCGCCUUGAUUUGGGAGAUUUAGUGCCCGAUCUAAAUUUGAUUUCAAUCGGUUUCCAUGUUCAAAUUUACUAUUGAUUUAAGCUAACCUGUGAAAGUACUUCGUGUAUUAGAAUUUAGAUCAAUUGAGUAUCAGAUCUGGAUUAGAAGAUCGUGUUUUAAGUUAAUAGUCUCCAGUUCUUUCAUUCGCUGGAGGGUUCUAAUUUCAGAUCUGGGUUUGGCACCCGUAUUCCCAAAUUUGGCCAAAAGGAUUACCACAGGUGUUUGGUUCAAAGCUUGAAAUGUUGUAGAAAUGCUCGAGUGAUGCUGAAGAGGUGAAGAAACAUGUGAUGUCCGGGCUUCAAUGCGUGCACGAUUUGGCGGCGAACUACUAGAGAGCGACGGCUGCAAAAGCUGACCUAAUUUCUGUGAGGAAGAAACGGUCCGACUUGAGUGGAAUUGAACCGGUUCAGGUGAACCGAGAAGCAAAUGAGAACCGAAAGAUUGUGCUUGUGGACAAGGUACCAUGUGGAGAUGGAUCCGUGAUGGAUGCUGGUCCAAAGGAGGGUGGGCCGCAUGUUUUGAAUGUGAACCUAUCAACGCCCAUGGGUGGACCGACGAAGGGGUUGAAACAGAUUGGUGUGGAUGCAAUUGUAGGGCUGAGAGCUCAUGGGCCGCUGGAAGAUGGGCCAUCGGAUGAUGGGUCGCCCACUCCAUUUAACUUUCGUACUUCACGGAAGGAAGACUUAGCUACUGGUGGAUUUGCUGCGCCAAAUGCAGUUGCAAAAAGAAAUGGGCCCGGGUUGGAGGCUAAUAUAAUGGCUUCAAAGAAUGGGCCGGCUGAUUUAAGAGGGUCGGUUGGAGGUACUUCAAAGGGUGGGCCGCCAGUUCCGAAUCUUGGGCAGAUUUUAGGAGGUGAAGUAAAAAAAAACUCAUGGGCAGCCUUAUUUGGGUCAAUAAGGAGUUCUUCUUUUCCCUAUACACCACCGACUACCAUGGAAGAGAAAAUAGUGGUGACUCCGUCUGAAGAAGUUCUUAGCCAAGGAGUUAGAUUGUGGGAGAACUCCCUCGUCGGCCAAUUAAUUGAUGCCAAAUUGUCGUAUACUGUUAUCUAUCAUCUUAUAGAGAAGAUUUGGGGUAGAAUUGAAAUGCCCACUAUUAUUCUGAUGGAAAAUGGACUCAUAUGCUUUCAAUUCAAACGUCCAAGUUCGAUAGAGUGGAUCGUAUCCCAUGGCCCAUGGCACCUUAGAGGCAAACCUAUGCUCCUCCGAAAAUGGAUUCCAGGUAUAGUUCCUGAAACCUUUGUCUUUGAUUCAGUUCCUAUUUGGAUCAAGUUAGGGAGGAUACCAUUGGAGUUAUGGGCGGAUGCCGGCUUGGCUGCUGUAGCGAGUGUGAUAGGAAAACCUUUAUCUUUUGAUCUUGCUACCAAAGAAAGACAUCGCCUUUCUUAUGCCCGUAUAUGUGUGGAAUUGUAUGUGGAUAGUACUAUGCCUACCGAAAGAACUGUCAACCUUAGAGGAGAGGAAUUCAUUGUAACAGUUAGUUACGAGUGGAAAUCGAGAAAAUGUAACAUGUGUCGAUCAUUUGGUCACUUGCAGAGCACAUGCCCUAAGGAAAUAGCAAAUGAAGGUAGUAAUAAUAAGAAGGUUGUAAGUAAAGAGGAUUCAAUUAAAGAGGUAGUUCCUAUCAAACCGGUGGUUCCAGCUUGUGAGGAGUAUGGCGAUGUUGUGUUCGAAUCCUUCCAACACCUGGAAGAAGGUGAUAUCAUUAUCCAUAAUAAUGGAGAUAAAAGGGGAUUGGAAGGUAGAAAUUUUUUUUUUCUUGGUUGAGAUAUUGGAGAAUGAUAAAAAAGGCAAAAGUUUUCAACCAUUUGAAAACACCUCUAUUUAUAACCUAAUUACAUGCAAAAAUGCAUGUAAUUAAUUUGUCAAAUCUCAACACCUAAUGUUCCACUAACAAAUAAUGAAACUUAGUGAGCUAGGUGUCUACAUCUCACUUAUCCCACUAAGAGUUAGUGGGAUUAUCCAACAAAAUGUUGGAUUUUCUCACUAACUUAGUCCAAGGGUAAAAUGGUCAUUAGAUAUUUCAAGUUAAAAGUCAAACUUUGACUUUUCUUAGUCAAAAGUCAACAUUUUGACUUUUUACCAUUUUGUCCGUCUUGACUAAUUCCAACCUCCCGAGCAUGAAUCCUCGUUCAUUUUUCCAAAAUUCAAAUCACAUUUGAAUAUAAGGCCGGUCAAAGUUUGACUUUUCAAUGUCAAAAGUCAACAUUUUGACUUUUUACAAUUUUUGACCAAUUCCAUCAAUUCCGAGCUUCUUAUUAUGAAUCCGCAUUCAUACUUAUAGUAUGUAAAACAUAAAGCUCUAUUUCUAAUUAGAAGACUGACGACUAUAUCGCUAUAUUUGUCAGUUUCUCUUUCUUCUCCCAAUUCGAACAAUUCGACUUAUUUCAUCACACUGUUCUAAGUUUAAUCCAUAUUAGCUAGCAGGGGAACCUAAUGGACCUAUAGAUAAUGGGCUCCAACGAUUCAAUAUUAACUGGCUAAACUCUUGUUCAAUGAGAGGGUGGGGCCCUUGUUCAAGACUUGGAUUCAGUGCUUAAGAGAACAACCUAUCUACGAACCCUAAAGCGGGUAGGAGUGAAUUCCAUCUUGUACCGUAUGUUCCCAGCUAUCCACUCGAUCUUACCCUGAAAUGGGAGGCUUAUUGGGCCAACGCUGAUGAGCAGCCCUCACCUAUGCAGAUCUGAGGAUAAUCUCUUGUGAACAGAAGUUCAUAGUUAACUCAGGAUUAAGAUUAAGUUACCUAGGUCAUCAAUAAUCGAGAUAGUCAGUUUUAAACAGAAAACGAUGUUAUAAUGAAAAAAGACUAAUUCAUGGUUCAGUCUUAUGUAAACACUUUACAUAGGAUGCCCCCACUUUCAUGUCUCUACAUGAACGAUUCAAGAUCACCUUGUUUGUACUACAAAGUGGGCCGGAUCCAUAGUUUCUCUAAAUAAGGCGCCCAACCUUUAUUCAUAUACUAUAGACUAUUUAGGCUAUAUACUCGAACUUGAUCCACGUUUAUAUUUACACAUAAAGUUCAAGUUUAUUAAAAAAUAGCCUUGGGAACUUGAUUUAUUGGAUUUAAGAUUAUAAUAUUUAAUUUAUCAAUAACAACUUUAUUGAACAGAAUAUGAUUACAAACUACGAGUUUUAGGACAAAAAAUUCCAACAAACUCCCACUUGGACUAAAACUCCUAGUGAUAUGAGAGAAUAUAUAUGAAACUAGGGCACAUGCCCAAUAAGUCUCCCAUUUGUCCUAGUUUACAAACAUCGUAGACCUAAAUUGUGUAGGUGACCCUCAAACACUUUAGCUGUGAGGGCUUUUGUAAAAGGAUCAGCAAUGUUUUGCUGAGAAGAAAUCCGGGUUACUACAACGUCACCACGAUGUACAAUUUCGCUGAUAAGAUGGUACUUGCGUUCAAUAUGCUUUCCUCUUUUAUGGCUUCUAGGUUCUCUUGAAUUUGCAAUUGCACCACUGUUGUCACAGUAUAAAGUGAUUGGUAGAUGCAUAUUUGAAACGACUUCCAAAUAUGUCAAGAAUUUU
rnacentral:lncRNA from 1 species